GAAAUGCGAUAAGUAAUGUGAAUUGCAGAAUUCAGUGAAUCAUCGAAUCUUUGAACGCACAUUGCGCCCGCCAGUACUCUGGCGGGCAUGCCUGUUCGAGCGUCAUUUCAACCCUCAAGCCCCGGGCUUGGUGUUGGGACUCGCGGUAACCCGCGU
rnacentral:misc_RNA from 1 species